GCUCUUCCUCAGCCACCCGCAGACCAAGACCUACUUCCCGCACUUCGACCUGCACCCGGGGUCCGCGCAGUUGCGCGCGCACGGCUCCAAGGUGGUGGCCGCCGUGGGCGACGCGGUGAAGAGCAUCGACAACAUCGGCGGCGCCCUGUCCAAGCUGAGCGAGCUGCACGCCUACAUCCUGCGCGUGGACCCGGUCAACUUCAAGGCUCUUCACAGUGUACCCCAGCACCAAGGUCUACUUCCCGCACCUGAGCGCCUGCCAGGACGCCACGCAGCUGCUGAGCCACGGGCAGCGCAUGCUGGCGGCGGUGGGCGCGGCGGUGCAGCACAUGGACAACCUGCGCGCCGCGCUGAGCCCGCUGGCGGACCUGCACGCGCUCGUGCUGCGCGUGGACCCAGCCAACUUUCCGCUGCUAAUCCAGUGUUUCCACGUCGUGCUGGCCUCCCACCUGCAGGACGAGUUCACCGUACAAAUGCAAGCGGCGUGGGACAAGUUCCUGACUGGUGUGGCCGUGGUGCUGACCGAAAAAUACCGCUGAGCCCUGUGCUGCGCAGGCCUUGGUCUGUGCCUGUCAAUAAACAGAGGCCCGAA
rnacentral:sRNA from 1 species